GACGAACGCUGGCGGCGUGCCUAAUACAUGCAAGUUGAGCGCUGAAGGUUGGUACUUGUACCAACUGGAUGAGCAGCGAACGGGUGAGUAACGCGUGGGGAAUCUGCCUUUGAGCGGGGGACAACAUUUGGAAACGAAUGCUAAUACCGCAUAAAAACUUUAAACACAAGUUUUAAGUUUGAAAGAUGCAAUUGCAUCACUCAAAGAUGAUCCCGCGUUGUAUUAGCUAGUUGGUGAGGUAAAGGCUCACCAAGGCGAUGAUACAUAGCCGACCUGAGAGGGUGAUCGGCCACAUUGGGACUGAGACACGGCCCAAACUCCUACGGGAGGCAGCAGUAGGGAAUCUUCGGCCAUGGACGCAAGUCUGACCGAGCAACGCCGCGUGAGUGAAGAAGGUUUUCGGAUCGUAAAACUCUGUUGGUAGAGAAGAACGUUGGUGAGAGUGGAAAGCUCAUCAAGUGACGGUAACUACCCAGAAAGGGACGGCUAACUACGUG
rnacentral:rRNA from 1 species